UACGUAGGUGGCAAGCGUUGUCCGGAUUUACUGGGCGUAAAGAGCGCGCAGGCGGUCGAUCAAGUCGCGUGUGAAAGCCCCCGGCUCAACUGGGGAGGGUCACGCGAUACUGAUCGACUCGAAGGCAGGAGAGGGUAGUGGAAUUCCCGGUGUAGUGGUGAAAUGCGUAGAUAUUCGCAAGAACACCGGUGGCGAAGGCGGCCAACUGGUCCGAUACUGACGCUGAGGCGCGAAAGCGUGGGAGCAAACAGG
rnacentral:rRNA from 1 species